rnacentral:lncRNA from 1 species
CUCACUGUGGACUGUCUGUUUCAUGAGGAUAGAGGAUUACUGCAGUGCUACAGGAACCAGGAAGCUCUGGAGAAAGUUACACACUGGAUCAAACCGCUGCAGAAGAAAGGAACUUCUGGAACAAGAGAAGUAAAAGCAGCUACAACAGGAAAUGCAGAGUUAAUCAACAAACUUCAGAGAAAUUAUAAACUCCUCAAGCAGCUGCAGAAAAUACCAUCAAUCAAGAAAACAAUUCCAGCACAACUACUUAGUGAACUAGAAAAAGAACUGAAAGAUCAUCCUUUAUUGCUGGUUCAGAGUAUGGAUGACCAGAAGAUGUGUGUAUGCUCCUGAAAUAAUUAACUGUAUUUCCCACAAGGGCUGGGUAAAUAAAAAAAAUCUGAUCUUAUUACUGUUUUUCA